CGGGUGAGUAAUACAUCGGAACGUGUCUUCUAGUGGGGGAUAACUGCCCGAAAGGGCAGCUAAUACCGCAUGAGACCUGAGGGUGAAAGCGGGGGAUCGCAAGACCUCGCGCUGGAAGAGCGGCCGAUGUCCGAUUAGCUAGUUGGUGAGGUAAAGGCUCACCAAGGCGACGAUCGGUAGCUGGUCUGAGAGGACGACCAGCCACACUGGGACUGAGACACGCCCAG
rnacentral:rRNA from 1 species